GUGAAUCAUCAAAUUUUUGAACGCAAAUUGCGCUCCCUGGUAUUUCGGGGAGUAUGCCUGUUUGAGGGUCGUUAGAAUCAAAAAUCGUGGCGUGGCUCUUUUUUUUAAGGUUGAUCGCGUCGGAAUUGAGUCGUCUUUCAAAUGUUAAUUCAUGUCAAAGUGGCUUAAACUUCAUCCAUCCGGUACGACUAAAGCGUAUUUACGACCAAUUUUGAUUACGAAUGCGCGAUGAACGUACCAUCUCAUGUAGUACGUUUGACUUGACGUCGUCAGUAUCAUUCGUAUACGAUACUCAAACUUU
rnacentral:misc_RNA from 1 species